AUUGAACGCUGGCGGCAGGCCUAACACAUGCAAGUCGAGCGAGCGGCGGACGGGUGAGUAAUGUCUGGGAAACUGCCUGAUGGAGGGGGAUAACUACUGGAAACGGUAGCUAAUACCGCAUACCAUCAGAUGUGCCCAGAUGGGAUGAGCUAGUAGGUGGGGUAAGGGUUCACCUAGGCGACGAUCCCUAGCUGGUCUGAGCGGAUGACCCGCCAGACUGGAACUGUGACAGGGUCCAGAUGCAUACGGGAGGCAGCAGGGGGGAAUAUUGCACAAUGGGCGCAAGCCGUAUGCAGCCAUGCCGCGUGUGGGAAGAAGGCCUUCGGGUUGUAAAGCACUUUCAUCGUGGAGGCGUUACCCGCAGAAGAAGCACCGGCUAACUCCGUGCCAGCAGCCGCGGUAAUAC
rnacentral:rRNA from 1 species